rnacentral:misc_RNA from 2 species
AUGCGUUAGGGAUUGCAGCGGAAAGCCCACAGCGUAGCGAGGACUUGCAGCGAAAAGCCCGACCUGAA